rnacentral:rRNA from 1 species
AGUGAGCGCUGGCGGUAGGCCUAACACAUGCCAGUCGAACGGCAGCACAGUAAGAGCUUGCUCUUACGGGUGGCGAGUGGCGGACGGGUGAGGAAUACAUCGGAAUCUACUUUUUCGUGGGGGAUAACGUAGGGAAACUUACGCUAAUACCGCAUACGACCUACGGGUGAAAGCAGGGGAUCUUCGGACCUUGCGCGAUUGAAUGAGCCGAUGUCGGAUUAGCUAGUUGGCGGGGUAAAGGCCCACCAAGGCGACGAUCCGUAGCUGGUCUGAGAGGAUGAUCAGCCACACUGGAACUGAGACACGGUCCAGACUCCUACGGGAGGCAGCAGUGGGAAAUAUUGGACAAUGGGCGCAAGCCUGAUCCAGCCAUACCGCGUGGGUGAAGAAGGCCUUCGGGUUGUAAAGCCCUUUUGUUGGGAAAGAAAAGCAGCAGGUUAAUACCCCGCUGUUCUGACGGUACCAAAAGAAUAAGCACCGGCUAACUUCGU